AUGGCGGGCGAGGCGCUGGGGGACGCCGCCAGCGCGUCGAGCUUCCUGUGCAGCGCCGACGAGCUCCGCUUCGACGCGCCCGCCCGUGCGCUGGCGGCCGAGGAGGCGCUGCAGCCCCCCGGGUGGCUCUACUUCGCGCUGCCCAUGUCCAUGCUCCGCCGGCCGCUCUCCGGGCAGGAGAUGGCUGCCCUCGCCGUCAAGGCCAGCUCCGCGCUCGCCGUCGCCAGCGGCACCGAGUUCGCCUUUGAGUACGCCGGAGGAACCGGCACCGAGUUCGCCUUUGAGUACGCCGGAGGAACCGGCACCGUGUUCGCUGGAAUUCUUGGUCCAGAGAAGCACUCUGAGUCCAACGGUGGCUACAACACAGAUAAGGUAGUAAGAUUUGACAACUAUUGGCCAUACAGGUAUCUGAAAGUGGUCCCAAAGAUGCCUGAUAGAACUCGGGUGGAGGCCAAGGAGAUUCGGCUCUCGGACAUGCCACCAGUAACACUUGAUGAUAGCAACAUGCACACUAAAACAGAUGACACCUCCGAAAUGAACAUUCCAGAGGAUUUCGAUAACCGACCUUCAAAAAAAGCAAAAAUUUCUGAAUCAGGUGUUUUGGAGUCAUCACCAAUGUCACCAACUAUGUCAGCAUCUAAUCCAGUUUCUAAAUGUUUUGAAUCGAUUGUGCCUGAAUCAGAAAAUCAGAUAGAUCAUGAUCCAUUGCCAUCACCUUCUAGCUCGACAUUAACUCCUGUUUUAAUAUUACAUGAUGUCAAGGAACCAGAUCCAAAUAAAGGGAUCAAAGUUGAUGAGACAUAUGAUUAUCUCCCACAAGGUAUUUAUUUAUUUAUUAUGUAUACUUUCGUAUUUUAUAUAUUCUUAAAAAAAAUUAUUUUAUGCAGACUAUACAUUGACCGACCAUGA
rnacentral:rRNA from 1 species